GUAUAGACCCGAAACCCGGUGAUCUAGCCAUGGGCAGGUUGAAGGUUGGGUAACACUAACUGGAGGACCGAACCGACUAAUGUUGAAAAAUUAGCGGAUGACCUGUGGCUGGGGGUGAAAGGCCAAUCAAACCGGGAGAUAGCUGGUUCUCCCCGAAAGCUAUUUAGGUAGCGCCUCGUGAAUUCAUCUCCGGGGGUAGAGCACUGUUUCGGCUAGGGGGCCAUCCCGGCUUACCAACCCGAUGCAAACUGCGAAUACCGGAGAAUGUUAUCACGGGAGACACACGGCGGGUGCUAACGUCCGUCGUGAAGAGGGAAACAACCCAGACCGCCAGCUAAGGUCCCAAAGUCAUGGUUAAGUGGGAAACGAUGUGGGAAGGCCCAGACAGCCAGGAUGUUGGCUUAGAAGCAGCCAUCAUUUAAAGAAAGCGUAAUAGCUCACUGGUCGAGUCGGCCUGCGCGGAAGAUGUAACGGGGCUAAACCAUGCACCGAAGCUGCGGCAGCGACACUGUGUGUUGUUGGGUAGGGGAGCGUUCUGUAAGCCUGUGAAGGUGUGUCGUGAGGCAUGCUGGAGGUAUCAGAAGUGCGAAUGCUGACAUAAGUAACGAUAAAGCGGGUGAAAAGCCCGCUCGCCGGAAGACCAAGGGUUCCUGUCCAACGUUAAUCGGGGCAGGGUGAGUCGACCCCUAAGGCGAGGCCGAAAGGCGUAGUCGAUGGGAAACGGGUUAAUAUUCCCGUACUUGGUGUUACUGCGAAGGGGGGACGGAGAAGGCUAUGUUGGCCGGGCGACGGUU
rnacentral:rRNA from 1 species